rnacentral:rRNA from 1 species
AGAGUUUGAUCCUGGCUCAGGACGAACGCUGGCGGCAUGCCUAAUACAUGCAAGUCGAACGAUGACGUUCAUCUAGUUUACUAGAUGAACUGAUUAGUGGCGAACGGGUGAGUAACACGUGGGGAAUCUGCCCAUGAGUGGGGGAUAACAUUCGGAAACGAAUGCUAAUACCGCAUAUAUCUUUAGACCGCAUGGUCUUUAGAAGAAAGACGGCUUCGGCUGUCGCUCAUGGAUGAUCCCGCGGCGUAUUAGUUAGUUGGUGGGGUAAAGGCCUACCAAGACAAUGAUACGUAGCCGACCUGAGAGGGUGAUCGGCCACACUGGGACUGAGACACGGCCCAGACUCCUACGGGAGGCAGCAGUAGGGAAUCUUCCACAAUGGGUGCAAACCUGAUGGAGCAAUGCCGCGUGAAUGAAGAAGGUCUUCGGAUCGUAAAGUUCUGUUAUUAGAGAAGAACAAAUCGAGGAGUAACUGUCUCGAUUUUGACGGUACCUAACCAGAAAGUCACGGCUAACUACGUGCCAGCAGCCGCGGUAAUACGUAGGUGACAAGCGUUGUCCGGAAUUAUUGGGCGUAAAGGGAGCGCAGGCGGUUGAGAUAGUCUGAUGUGAAAGCCCACGGCUUAACCGUGGAAUGUCAUUGGAAACUGUUCAACUUGAAUGCAGAAGAGGUAAGUGGAAUUCCAUGUGUAGCGGUGAAAUGCGUAGAUAUAUGGAGGAACACCAGUGGCGAAGGCGACUUACUGGUCUGUGAUUGACGCUGAGGCUCGAAAGCGUGGGUAGCAAACAGAAUUAGAUACCCUGGUAGUCCACGCCGUAA